rnacentral:tRNA from 1 species
UACAUUUUAGUAUAUGAUGUAUAAAAGUUUUUGAUACUUUUGGAAAUAGUUUAAUUCUAUUAUUAAAUGUAA